GAUGAACGCUGGCGGCGUGCUUAACACAUGCAAGUCGAACGAUGAAGCCCAGCUUGCUGGGUGGAUUAGUGGCGAACGGGUGAGUAACACGUGAGCAACCUGCCCCUGACUCUGGGAUAAGCGCUGGAAACGGCGUCUAAUACUGGAUAUGUCCCGUCACCGCAUGGUGUGCGGGUGGAAAGAUUUUUCGGUUGGGGAUGGGCUCGCGGCCUAUCAGCUUGUUGGUGAGGUAAUGGCUCACCAAGGCGUCGACGGGUAGCCGGCCUGAGAGGGUGACCGGCCACACUGGGACUGAGGGACGGCCCAGACUGCUGCGGGAGGCAGCAGGGAGGAAGAUUGCACAAUGGGCGGAAGCCUGAUGCAGCAACGCCGCGUGAGGGAUGACGGCCUUCGGGUUGUAAACCUCUUUUAGCAGGGAAGAAGCGAUAGUGACGGUACCUGCAGAAAAAGCACCGGCUAACUACGUG
rnacentral:rRNA from 1 species